UAAUGUAUAUAAUUGUCGAGUUACUAUGUUAUACACCUGAAACCAAUAUAAUCUUGUAUGCCAACUAUACUUCAAUUUAUAAAAAUGUUACUGCUAGUAAUGGUAGCAGUAUCCCAGUCCACAAUACUACACGUUUGAAAGUCUCAUCUAAUUUGUACUUGUUUUUGUUAGACUGUACACUUGUAAAGUAGGGACUAUAUCUAUUUAUCUCUAUAUCCCCAGAAUCUACCCUGAGGCCAUGCCCAUAAUAGCCACUAAUUAAGCAACUGUCCUUUCAGGCACUAGAGAAGAGACCACCAAAAUCCUCUGCCUAGCCUCCCUCAUUCCCCUAUAGAUUAUAUCCUCAGUUCCUAUAAUUCUUUGGCUUCCUUUGGCUCCCUUUCUUGUUUCCACCUCCUCCCUUCCUCUGCUCCAGGGAUGUUCAUUCACUAAUGGUGAUCUCUGGUCUCAUCCCUGGCAGGUGUUCCAAUGCUUCCUUUUGCUCUCUACCCACAGCUAUAUUAUCUAACCAGCCUCUGCAUCACUUAUUCUGCAAUUAAUAGAAGGGUGAACGGAGGCUGUAUUUCUCGACCAUUGGUCUCAUACCUAUUUGUGAGAAGGAGAAUUCUCUGGAAAAGAGAAAAGCAGAUAAGAUGGUAACAAGAACACAAAGCCUUCAAACACAGCUCCCUCGUUAAGGGAAUCCUGUAGAUAUAUUUGUACAACCAACCAAAAUCUCACUGGGGUUUGGGGAGGUUCAGAAACUGCUGGGGAGAAGAUGGAGGCAUGAUGGGCAGGAAGCUCAGCUAUAUGUUAAUUUUUAUUUUGCAAAUUUCAGGGUUUAUUUUCCCCCCACUAGUAAACAUCUUCAUUUUCUCCCCAGAGCAGAAACUCAAAGAGGAAGAGAAUAUGAAAAUCCUCAGAGCUGAGAAGAUACAAGAUCACAGGCAGCUACAGACUGGAAAAUAAGAAUAAGGACCAAGGAACAGUUUGACAUGACCAGGAAAGUGAGGAAAAACGAAAGAGCAGGGAGAAGAACGGAGUGUAUAUGGUGGCAGAGAUGAUGGAGAUGAACAAAGAAGAGCCAGAGACAGAUGUCAUACAAAAGGAACAGUAAGUUCUUAUCAUAAAUACAGAGAUGGAAGCAGUGAUCUAAUUAUGGCUAAAAUCAGUUCCUAGGCCAGCUUUCCCAGUUGAAGCUUUCCUGGGUGACUCCAUCAGCCAGCCCUGUGUGGUCCAGGAGUAUGGCAGAGUGGGAGUAGAAAUGGGCAGAAACAGAUACUAACUUCUCCCACUUCCGUUUAAACCCAAGAAGACCUUUAUUCCCCUACACAGGAAAACUGGACUUUGCACAUCCGUUGGCUACUUUGUAUCAGAUAGAGAAAUUUGCUUAAUGCCAAUUCUUCAAAGAGUCAGCUGUAAAACUUUGCCUGUCAGUAAAUAAACAAAUUAAAGAGCAAGAGUUAUUAGUGCUUCA